rnacentral:rRNA from 1 species
AUUGAACGCUGGCGGCAUGCUUUACACAUGCAAGUCGAACGGCAGCGCGGGCUUCGGCCUGGCGGCGAGUGGCGAACGGGUGAGUAAUGCAUCGGAACGUGCCCAGUAGUGUGGGAUAGCCCGGCGAAAGCCGGAUUAAUACCGCAUACGACCUGAGGGUGAAAGCGGGGGACCGAAAGGCCUCGCGCUAUUGGAGCGGCCGAUGUCGGAUUAGCUAGUUGGUGGGGUAAAGGCUUACCAAGGCGACGAUCCGUAGCUGGUCUGAGAGGACGACCAGCCACACUGGGACUGAGACACGGCCCAGACUCCUACGGGAGGCAGCAGUGGGGAAUUUUGGACAAUGGGGGCAACCCUGAUCCAGCCAUGCCGCGUGCGGGAAGAAGGCCUUCGGGUUGUAAACCGCUUUUGUUCGGGAAGAAAUCCUCUGGGCUAAUACCCCGGGGGGAUGACGGUACCGGAAGAAUAAGCACCGGCUAACUACGUG